rnacentral:rRNA from 1 species
CCGGCGCACGGGUGAGUAACACGUAUCCAACCUGCCGAUGACUCGGGGAUAGCCUUUCGAAAGAAAGAUUAAUACCCGAUGGCAUAGUUCUUCCGCAUGGUAGAACUAUUAAAGAAUUUCGGUCAUCGAUGGGGAUGCGUUCCAUUAGGUUGUUGGCGGGGUAACGGCCCACCAAGCCAACGAUGGGUAGCCGAGCUGAGAGGCUGAUCGGCCACACUGGAACUGAGACACGGUCCAG